AGUAACGUGAUUGGAAUUGGUAUACAGAGCAGCCUUAAAACCUGCGGCUCUUCGGAGCAUGAGGGUUCGAAUCCCUCCGUUACUA
rnacentral:tRNA from 1 species